UACGUAGGGGGCGAGCGUUAUCCGGAUUUACUGGGUGUAAAGGGAGCGUAGACGGCCGUGCAAGUCAGGAGUGAAAGCCCGCGGCUCAACUGCGGGACUGCUCUUGAGACUGUAUGGCUGGAGUGCAGGAGAGGUGAGUGGAAUUCCUAGUGUAGCGGUGAAAUGCGUAGAUAUUAGGAGGAACACCAGUGGCGAAGGCGGCUCACUGGACUGUGACUGACGUUGAGGCUCGAAAGCGUGGGGAGCAA
rnacentral:rRNA from 1 species